rnacentral:ncRNA from 1 species
UGAUAGCGUAGAAGCGUGAGGUUGCUGUUUAUAAGAACAGGUUUUCCGUGGAGCGAAUGUCAAGUUAGGAAACUGGCGACAA